rnacentral:rRNA from 1 species
AGUGAACGCUGGCGGUAGGCCUAACACAUGCAAGUCGAACGGCAGCACAGGAGAGCUUGCUCUCUGGGUGGCGAGUGGCGGACGGGUGAGGAAUACAUCGGAAUCUACUUUUUCGUGGGGGAUAACGUAGGGAAACUUACGCUAAUACCGCAUACGACCUACGGGUGAAAGCAGGGGACCUUCGGGCCUUGCGCGAUUGAAUGAGCCGAUGUCGGAUUAGCUAGUUGGCGGGGUAAAGGCCCACCAAGGCGACGAUCCGUAGCUGGUCUGAGAGGAUGAUCAGCCAGACUGGAACUGAGACACGGUCCAGACUCCUACGGGAGGCAGCAGUGGGGAAUAUUGGACAAUGGGCGCAAGCCUGAUUCAGCCAUACCGCGUGGGUGAAGAAGGCCUUCGGGUUGUAAAGCCCUUUUGUUGGGAAAGAAAUCCAGCUGGCUAAUACCCGGUUGGGAUGACGGUACCCAAAGAAUAAGCACCGGCUAACUUCGUGCCAGCAGCCGCGGUAA